rnacentral:rRNA from 1 species
CCUACGGGUGGCAGCAGUGGGGAAUAUUGCACAAUGGGCGCAAGCCUGAUGCAGCCAUGCCGCGUGUGUGAAGAAGGCCUUCGGGUUGUCAAGCACUUUCAGCGGGGAGGAAGGCGGUGAGGUUAAUAACCUCAUCGAUUGACGUUACCCGCAGAAGAAGCACCGGCUAACUCCGUGCCAGCAGCCGCGGUAAUACGGAGGGUGCAAGCGUUAAUCGGAAUUACUGGGCGUAAAGCGCACGCAGGCGGUCUGUCAAGUCGGAUGUGAAAUCCCCGGGCUCAACCUGGGAACUGCAUUCGAAACUGGCAGGCUAGAGUCUUGUAGAGGGGGGUAGAAUUCCAGGUGUAGCGGUGAAAUGCGUAGAGAUCUGGAGGAAUACCGGUGGCGAAGGCGGCCCCCUGGACAAAGACUGACGCUCAUGUGCGAAAGCGUGGGGAGCAAACAGGAUUAGAUACCCGUGUAGUC